rnacentral:lncRNA from 1 species
AGAGCUGUGGGGCUUUGCUUUUUUUAUUUCCUUUUCUUUUUUUUUUUUUGCAGAAAACAAGACAAAUUGCAGAAGUCUUGGUACCUCCCCCACCAGAAAUGCUGGCCUCUGCAUAGCCAAACCUGCAUUGCAUGAGGAACACCAUCCUACCUGCCCAUGUGGCUGGCUGGGACGAAAAGGAACACCUUGCAAAGCCAUCCACAUUUUUGCCAUAGUGAUGCUCCUGGGUUUGGGUUGCUCAUCCUGAAGAGUUGCACUGGGAUGUGAUUUUCAUAAGGUCAGUGCUGAGAGUUUGCCAAAACCCAGCUGUCAAUAGGGAA